AACGCAUAUUGCGCCCGCCGGUAUUCCGGCGGGCACGCCUGUCCGAGCGCCAUCGAAACCCCUCGGGCCCAGGCUCGCUGUUGGGCGACGCCCGCGAGGGCGCGCCCCGAACCCGUCGGCGGCCGCCGUCCGGCUCCGGAACGCACCGCGCCUCACGGCCACGCGCAAGCCGGGCUGGACGGAGGGCCCGCCACCGCUACCACGGAACAGAUGAAGGCCUCGGAUCAGGCGGGGUUACCCGCUGAACUUAA
rnacentral:misc_RNA from 1 species